rnacentral:rRNA from 1 species
AUGCACGCUGGCGGCGUGCCUAAUACAUGCAAGUAGAACGCUGAAGGAGGAGCUUGCUCUUCUGGAUGAGUUGCGAACGGGUGAGUAACGCGUAGGUAACCUGCCUGGUAGCGGGGGAUAACUAUUGGAAACGAUAGCUAAUACCGCAUGACAACAGUUAUUGCAUGAUAACUGUUUAAAAGGGGCAACUGCUCCACUACCAGAUGGACCUGCGUUGUAUUAGCUAGUUGGUGAGGUAACGGCUCACCAAGGCGACGAUACAUAGCCGACCUGAGAGGGUGAUCGGCCACACUGGGACUGGGACACGGCCCAGACUCCUACGGGAGGCAGCAGUAGGGAAUCUUCGGCAAUGGACGGAAGUCUGACCGAGCAACGCCGCGUGAGUGAAGAAGGUUUUCGGAUCGUAAAGCUCUGUUGUAAGAGAAGAACGAGUGUGAGAGUGGAAAGUUCACACUGUGACGGUAUCUUACCAGAAAGGGACGGCUAACUACGUG